UACGUACGAGGCAAGCGUUAUCCGGAAUUAUUGGGCGUAAAGCGCGCGCAGGCGGGCUGUUAAGUAGGGCGUGAAAUCUCCCGGUCUAACUGGGAGGGGUCGCUCUAAACUGGCAGUCUUGAGGACAGCAGAGGUAGGUGGAAUUCCUGGUGUAGUGGUGAAAUGCGUAGAGAUCAGGAGGAACACCUGUGGCGAAAGCGGCGCACUGGACCACAACUGACGCUGAGGCGCGAAAGCUAGGGGAGCAAACAGG
rnacentral:rRNA from 1 species